GACGCGCAAGCAAAUGGGCUUGAUGUAAGGGCUAAACGGGGUCGAGUUG
rnacentral:sRNA from 12 species